rnacentral:rRNA from 1 species
GUGUGACUCGUCACACUAUCAUUAACUGAAUCCAUAGGUUAAUGAGGCGAACCGGGGGAACUGAAACAUCUAAGUACCCCGAGGAAAAGAAAUCAACCGAGAUUCCCCCAGUAGCGGCGAGCGAACGGGGAGGAGCCCAGAGCCUGAAUCAGCAUAUGUGUUAGUGGAAGCGUCUGGAAAGGCGCGCGAUACAGGGUGACAGCCCCGUACACAAAAGCGCAUGUGCUGUGAGCUCGAUGAGUAGGGCGGGACACGUGGUAUCCUGUCUGAAUAUGGGGGGACCAUCCUCCAAGGCUAAAUACUCCUGACUGACCGAUAGUGAACCAGUACCGUGAGGGAAAGGCGAAAAGAACCCCGGCGAGGGGAGUGAAAAAGAACCUGAAACCGUGUACGUACAAGCAGUGGGAGCACCCUUUGGGGUGUGACUGCGUACCUUUUGUAUAAUGGGUCAGCGACUUAUAUUCUGUAGCAAGGUUAACCGAAUAGGGGAGCCGGAGGGAAACCGAGUCUUAAUUGGGCGUUAAGUUGCAGGGUAUAGACCCGAAACCCGGUGAUCUAGCCAUGGGCAGGUUGAAGGUUGGGUAACACUAACUGGAGGACCGAACCGACUAAUGUUGAAAAAUUAGCGGAUGACCUGUGGCUGGGGGUGAAAGGCCAAUCAAACCGGGAGAUAGCUGGUUCUCCCCGAAAGCUAUUUAGGUAGCGCCUCGUGAAUUCAUCUCCGGGGGUAGAGCACUGUUUCGGCUAGGGGGCCAUCCCGGCUUACCAACCCGAUGCAAACUGCGAAUACCGGAGAAUGUUAUCACGGGAGACACACGGCGGGUGCUAACGUCCGUCGUGAAGAGGGAAACAACCCAGACCGCCAGCUAAGGUCCCAAAGUCAUGGUUAAGUGGGAAACGAUGUGGGAAGGCCCAGACAGCCAGGAUGUUGGCUUAGAAGCAGCCAUCAUUUAAAGAAAGCGUAAUAGCUCACUGGUCGAGUCGGCCUGCGCGGAAGAUGUAACGGGGCUAAACCAUGCACCGAAGCUGCGGCAGCGACGCUGAUGCGUUGUUGGGUAGGGGAGCGUUCUGUAAGCCUGCGAAGGUGGCCUGUGAGGGUUGCUGGAGGUAUCAGAAGUGCGAAUGCUGACAUAAGUAACGAUAAAGCGGGUGAAAAGCCCGCUCGCCGGAAGACCAAGGGUUCCUGUCCAACGUUAAUCGGGGCAGGGUGAGUCGACCCCUAAGGCGAGGCCGAAAGGCGUAGUCGAUGGGAAACGGGUUAAUAUUCCCGUACUUGGUGUUACUGCGAAGGGGGGACGGAGAAGGCUAUGUUGGCCGGGCGACGGUUGUCCCGGUUUAAGCGUGUAGGUGUGUGUUCCAGGUAAAUCCGGUUCACUUUAACACUGAGGCGUGAUGACGAGGCACUACGGUGCUGAAGCAACAAAUGCCCUGCUUCCAGGAAAAGCCUCUAAGCAUCAGGUAACAUCAAAUCGUACCCCAAACCGACACAGGUGGUCAGGUAGAGAAUACCAAGGCGCUUGAGAGAACUCGGGUGAAGGAACUAGGCAAAAUGGUGCCGUAACUUCGGGAGAAGGCACGCUGACACGUAGGUGAAGUGAUUUACUCAUGGAGCUGAAGUCAGUCGAAGAUACCAGCUGGCUGCAACUGUUUAUUAAAAACACAGCACUGUGCAAACACGAAAGUGGACGUAUACGGUGUGACGCCUGCCCGGUGCCGGAAGGUUAAUUGAUGGGGUCAGCGCAAGCGAAGCUCCUGAUCGAAGCCCCGGUAAACGGCGGCCGUAACUAUAACGGUCCUAAGGUAGCGAAAUUCCUUGUCGGGUAAGUUCCGACCUGCACGAAUGGCGUAAUGAUGGCCAGGCUGUCUCCACCCGAGACUCAGUGAAAUUGAACUCGCUGUGAAGAUGCAGUGUACCCGCGGCAAGACGGAAAGACCCCGUGAACCUUUACUAUAGCUUGACACUGAACAUUGAGCCUUGAUGUGUAGGAUAGGUGGGAGGCUUUGAAGUGUGGACGCCAGUCUGCAUGGAGCCGGCCUUGAAAUACCACCCUUUAAUGUUUGAUGUUCUAACGUGGACCCGUGAUCCGGGUUGCGGACAGUGUCUGGUGGGUAGUUUGACUGGGGCGGUCUCCUCCUAAAGAGUAACGGAGGAGCACGAAGGUUGGCUAAUCCUGGUCGGACAUCAGGAGGUUAGUGCAAUGGCAUAAGCCAGCUUGACUGCGAGCGUGACGGCGCGAGCAGGUGCGAAAGCAGGUCAUAGUGAUCCGGUGGUUCUGAAUGGAAGGGCCAUCGCUCAACGGAUAAAAGGUACUCCGGGGAUAACAGGCUGAUACCGCCCAAGAGUUCAUAUCGACGGCGGUGUUUGGCACCUCGAUGUCGGCUCAUCACAUCCUGGGGCUGAAGUAGGUCCCAAGGGUAUGGCUGUUCGCCAUUUAAAGUGGUACGCGAGCUGGGUUUAGAACGUCGUGAGACAGUUCGGUCCCUAUCUGCCGUGGGCGCUGGAGAACUGAGGGGGGCUGCUCCUAGUACGAGAGGACCGGAGUGGACGCAUCACUGGUGUUCGGGUUGUCAUGCCAAUGGCACUGCCCGGUAGCUAAAUGCGGAAGAGAUAAGUGCUGAAAGCAUCUAAGCACGAAACUUGCCCCGAGAUGAGUUCUCCCUGAGACUUAGAGUCUCCUGAAGGAACGUUGAAGACGACGACGUUGAUAGGCCGGGUGUGUAAGCGCAGCGAUGCGUUGAGCUAACCGGUACUAAUGAACCGUGAGGCUUAACCUUACA